GCCGACGUAGCUCAGCUUGGUUAGAGCGAGGGACUCAUAAGCCCUAGGUCGCUGGUUCGAAUCCAGCCGUCGGCA
rfam:Candidatus Jorgensenbacteria bacterium GWA1_49_17 gwa1_scaffold_1122, whole genome shotgun sequence.